GUCUGAUGCCAACGUUUUCUUUACUGGUCCUCAUUUGGCGGAAAUGGUUGUAGGGACAAAUUUAAUAACAACAAUUGCAUCUAUACCCCAAGAGGGAAAUUGCAUAUAUUUUAUGUAGACGGGGUCAACAAAGAAAGCACCAGUAAGGAUGUGUGUAUCUGUAUUGCAUUCUGUAGCAGUAACUGAGGCACUCCAGCUAUUGUGAAAUAAAUUGUCAUAUUGGUGUAGUAUAUUGCAUAAUCUUAUCUCAAUGCUCUACAUUUUUAUAUUUAAUGUCAUUCUUGUGUAAGCUCUAUGAGAU